rnacentral:rRNA from 1 species
UACGAAGGGGGCUAGCGUUGUUCGGAAUUACUGGGCGUAAAGGGCUCGUAGGCGGCCAACUAAGUCAGACGUGAAAUCCCUCGGCUUAACCGGGGAACUGCGUCUGAUACUGGAUGGCUUGAGAUUGGGAGAGGGAUGCGGAAUUCCAGGUGUAGCGGUGAAAUGCGUAGAUAUCUGGAGGAACACCGGUGGCGAAGGCGGCAUCCUGGACCAACACUGACACUGAGGAGCGAAAGCCAGGGGAGCAAACGGG